AGAAGACCAGGAAAGCAACGCACAUCAUUCCUGAUACAAAAUUAUGUUCAACGCCUGUUUGGAGAGGAUGAAGGCAUGCUACGAUCAAGCCAAAUCUCCACACUUGCCCAAGAUCGUCAGAGUUGGAAGAAGCUUGUAGUCGCCUGCUCCGUAAUGCACAACAUUCCCGACAUGCUCAACAUCUGCUUGGAGAUGAUGAAGGCAUCCUAUGAGCGAGCAAAAUCUCCACACUUGCCCAAGAUCAUCGUAGGUGUAGUUGCCUGCUCCGCUGUCGAAAAUGAUGAUGGUGAUGAAGGAGCUGAACUCAAGGAAAAGGUUGUGUGAUUUGUUUGUGUUAAAGAUGGUGUUGCAGAAUGGCUCAACAUCUCUCAAGACAUCUACCUAUCAACAAUUAGAUGUCCAAGACACGACUAUGGUAGAAGAGCUGCUCGUUCCAGUAAAUGUCAGGCUCCUAUAACGACAUCUACCCGUCAACAUGUAGAAGCCCAAGACCAACCUAUGUUGAAGCCACUCUCCAGUAAAAGCCAUGCAGGCUUAAAGCAUCUCCAAAGAUAUCUACCCAUCACCAACUAGAUGUCUGAGACUGGUCUAUCAUGAUAGAGAAGCUGCUCUUUCUAGUGAACCUUCUAAGGAGCAAAAUGUUUUGUAUUCAAAUUCUGUCCAAAGAAGCUGGAUGAAUGCACCCUCAGUGAAGAGCCAGAGGUGUAGCUUGUGGUUUCCUGGAAUCAAGUGCAGAUGGAAUCACCACUACUGACACCUUAAAGGCUACAGGAACAAGAGAGCAACGCGUAUGAAAACAUUGUUAUCAUCUAGAUGUCUAAGCUGUUCAUCAAGAAGAGCUGCUCUUUCAAGUGAACUUUCUAAGGAACAACAUGUUUUGUGUCCAAUGGAGCUGGAUGAGUGCCCCCUCGUUGAAGAGCCAGAGGUGAAGCUAAUGGUUCCCUGGAAUCAAGUGCAGAUGGAAUCAUCUACAGGAAAUGAAUGCAUCUUAUACUCAAGACAUCUUAGCUUUUCAUCAACAAUCUUGACUGAACACCCAAGCAGUUUGUUGCCUUCAAAAAGACGGAGAUAAAGGGAAUAGUUUCCUGAAAAGAUUUUCAGAAUGGAAUCACCACUACUGAUGUCAUCAAAGAUACUGGGUAUAGAGCGACGCAUAUUAAAACAUCGCUAUCGUCAAGACAUCUUUUAUAGCUGCAAGCAAUUAUGGAUGUAACAAUCAGUUUGUUGUCUUCAACAGUAAGGUAUUAUAAAUGUGUUUUUAUUAACUGAAUAAGUUGCAAUGUAUUCAGAACACUGCUGCCCGCUUUUGGUACAGUCUCCAAGAUAUAAGCACAUCAUCCCUAUUCUUCGCUGUCUCUGCCCACUAGCUGCCAAUCACAGACAUUUGUGCUCAAGCCAUGGUUGCUCACUUACAAGUCUCAACAUGAUCUCGCUCCUGCAUGUAUCUACAAACUUAAAAACUCAUAUAAACCCCCUCGUCUUCGCUCAUCGUCACAGUGUCUACUGCAAGCUCCCCACAGAGUCUCUGAACUUAUAACCUUGUCUACACAUCCUCGUUGUCUUCGCUCAUCAUCACAGUGUCUACUGCAAGCUCCCCACAGAGCCUCUGAACUUAUAACCUUGUCUACACAUCCUCGUUGUCUUCGCUCAUCAUCACAGUGUCUACUGCAAGCUCCCCACAGAGUUUCUACUUCGCAAUAUGGGGGUCAAUGCUGCUCCCACCUUAUGAAACAGUCUUCCUCUUUUUGUUCGCCAAGCUACUUCGAUCACUUCCUUCAAGUAUCGCCUGAAAACUCAUCUGUUUUCAAAAUAAUGAUGCACUUUUUGUGCUUUAAAUUCUCGUUUUUAGCUGAUCAAUUCUACGUUGUUUUUAUGGCCAGAUGCUGAGGAUCUUGGCUAAGGGUGUAAGUGCUGGUAACCUCUCCCCUUUUCAAAGUAUGUUUUAGAGUUAAUGGUGCACUUCUUGUGCUUUUAAUUAUUGUUUUAGCGGAUCAUAUCUGUGUUGUUGUUUUUAUGGCCAGAUGCUGAGGAUCUUGGCUAAGGGUGUAAGUGCUGGUAACCUCUCCCCUUUUAAAUAUGUUUUAUUUUAAUGGUAUGCUUACUUUUGUGUAGAGGUGUGAAGGCACUGGACACUAUUGGUAAUUACUCAAAAUACUUUUUUGCAUAAAAAUUUACUUUUUAACUUGCA